rnacentral:rRNA from 1 species
AACGAACGCUGGCGGCAUGCCUAACACAUGCAAGUCGAACGAGACCUUCGGGUCUAGUGGCGCACGGGUGCGUAACGCGUGGGAACCUGCCCUUAGGUUCGGAAUAACUCCCCGAAAGGGGUGCUAAUACCGGAUAAUGUCUUCGGACCAAAGAUUUAUCGCCUUUGGAUGGGCCCGCGUUGGAUUAGCUAGUUGGUAGGGUAAAAGCCUACCAAGGCGCCGAUCCAUAGCUGGUCUGAGAGGAUGAUCAGCCACACUGGGACUGAGACACGGCCCAGACUCCUACGGGAGGGAGCAGAGGGGAAUAGUGGACAAGGGGCGAAAGCCUGAACCAGCAAUGCCGCGUGAGAGAUGAAGGCCUUAGGGUUGUAAAGGUCUUUUACCCGGGAUGAUAAUGACAGUACCGGGAGAAUAAGCUCCGGCUAACUCCGUG